CGGGAGGGAAGCGGAAAGCAGGGCACAGGAGGCGCAUCAGCUUCUGACCACCCCUGGGAGAUGGAGGUCACAUGUGGCAGAAGGACCCCAUGAAGAGGCACAGUCUGUGGGGUUGCAGCUCUGGACCUUGGGUGCCUGGUGGAACACUUAGCAGUCGAGUCGUUCUGGAGAGUCAAGUCAAAUUCUGAAGAAAAGCCUGCAUGUCUCUGAUUCAUCUUCCUGAGGACAAUCUUUGUAACAGGCCCCUGGCUUCUGGAAUUCCACUGGCCUCAACUCCUGGUCUCCCUGAGGUAGGUGAGGGAGCAAGUACUAUUUUCUAUCACAAGCAACUAGGAGGGCCGACUAGGAACAGGUUAUCAAAGCUCUCCCAGGCAGCCUUGGAGAGGUAUGGAGGGUCAGAAUGUGUGUGUGUGGGGGGGAGUGUUCACCGAAGCAGUUCCAUUUUGCUAUGGUUUGUUAUUUUGGGGCUCAGAGAGAGACUUGAUUGCAAAAUUUGAUUGUAUCAGUGCUAGAAAAAUUAAAAAGUUGAGAUCACCCAUCCUAUAUAAUUUCUUACAUCUUAGCCAGGCGUAGGGGCGCAUGCCUGUAAUUGCAGCACUUGGGAAGCUGAGGCAGGAGG